CAGACGAUGCGUCAUGCAUAUCAAUAAGCGGAGGAAAAGAAACUAACAAGGAUUCCCCUAGUAACGGCGAGUGAAGCGGGAAGAGCUCAAAUUUGAAAUCUUAAAGGGUUUCCCUUUACGAAUUGUAGUUUAAAGAAGUGUUUUCUGUUGAGGUUUUGGUGAAAGUUCUUUGGAAUAGGACAUCAUAGAGGGUGAGAAUCCCGUAUUUGACCUUUACUUUCAACUUUGUGAUACACUUUCAAAGAGUCGGAUUGUUUGGGAAUGCAGUCCAAAAUGGGUGGUAAAUUUCAUCUAAAGCUAAAUAUUGGCGAGAGACCGAUAGCGAACAAGUACCGUGAGGGAAAGAUGAAAAGAACUUUGAAAAGAGAGUUAAACAGUACGUGAAAUUGUCAAAAGGGAAGCGUUUGACACCAGUGUUGUUUUUCUGAAAAUCAAUUAAAGAACUGUUUAUGCUAAGCUGUUUAGACUUUAUCAGCUAUCUGUUUAGUUUUGAGCUUUUCUUUAAUGCACUUUUCAGUUAACAAGUCAACAUCAAUUUCUUUUGCUGUAAAAAAGCUUGAGGAAGGUGGCUUGAGAUUCGUCUUAAGUGUUUAUAGCCUCUUGCCUAUGCAGUCGGAGAGAUUGAGGUCUGCAGCGUAGAUCCUUCGGGGCUAAAUGCAUUUGUGCUAAGUUGUAGCAUUUUAUAGACAACUUGUUGACUAUGAUUUGUCUUGUAGCUUACUCGCUUAUGUUAUUUUACCUACGCUUAGGAUGUUGACACACGCGCGUGCUCG
rnacentral:rRNA from 1 species